rnacentral:rRNA from 1 species
GAUGAACGCUGGCGGCGUGCCUAAUACAUGCAAGUCGAGCGAACAGAUAAGGAGCUUGCUCCUUUGACGUUAGCGGCGGACGGGUGAGUAACACGUGGGUAACCUACCUAUAAGACUGGAAUAACUCCGGGAAACCGGGGCUAAUGCCGGAUAACAUUUAGAACCGCAUGGUUCUAAAGUGAAAGAUGGUUUUGCUAUCACUUAUAGAUGGUCCCGCGCCGUAUUAGCUAGUUGGUAAGGUAACGGCUUACCAAGGCAACGAUACGUAGCCGACCUGAGAGGGUGAUCGGCCACACUGGAACUGAGACACGGUCCAGACUCCUACGGGAGGCAGCAGUAGGGAAUCUUCCGCAAUGGGCGAAAGCCUGACGGAGCAACGCCGCGUGAGUGAUGAAGGUCUUCGGAUCGUAAAACUCUGUUAUUAGGGAAGAACAAAUGUGUAAGUAACUGUGCACGUCUUGACGGUACCUAAUCAGAAAGCCACGGCUAACUACGUG